rnacentral:rRNA from 1 species
UAUUGGUCAAUAGCCUAGCCGGCUGAACCAGCAACUUGGAGGAAUGAACAGGGAAAACUGGUAAAAUGUGAUGUACCUGGUAAUAUUAGAGGUUGAUAUGAUAUUAACUAAGUUAAUUAAAAUUCUAUGUAGAUAUUUGAUUAUGACAUUAUUUGCUAUAUUUCUUGACCAAGUCACGUGCCAGCAGUCGCGGCAAUACGUGGUAGAUAAGUGUUAUUCAUGUUUAAUAGGUUUAAAGGGUACCUAGACGGUUAAUUAGACAUAAAAGUGUACUAUUAUUAACUAGAGUUUAAUGUAAGAAGGAUUGAGUACGGUGAGUGUAGAGAUAAAAUUCUGUCAUACCACUUAAGGAACUGGUAAAGGCGAAGGCAACCUUCUAUGUAAAAACUGACGUUAAGGGACGAAGGCUUGAAUUAAGUAAUAGGAUUAGAUACCCUAGUAUUGUGAGCAGACAAUGAUGAGUGUCAUAUGCAAGAUAAUUUUGUGUAUAAAUGAAAGUGUAAGCACUCCACCUCAAGAGUAACAUGGCAACAUGGGAACUGAAAUCAUUAGACCGUUUCUGAAACUCGUAGUGAAGUAUGUUGUUUAAUUUGAUAAUCCGCAAAGAACCUUACCACAAUUUGUAUUACUUGAGCAUAUAAUAUUAUAUAUUAUUUAUAUUUUAUAUAAAAUUAUAACAAAACACAAGUAACAAGCGUUGCACGGCUGUCUUCAGUUAAUGUUGUGAAACUUUGGUUAGAUCCAUUUAAUUGACGUAAACCCUUGCUUUAUUUGUUAUAAAGCAGUUCGCCGCUAUAUUGGUAGUGAUAUAAGGGACUAGGACAAGUCAUCAUGAC